rnacentral:ncRNA from 1 species
AUUAUUACAGAAAGGAGAGAACUUUGGCAAUCCCCUUGAGAAGGACGGAAUGAGCUUUUGCUCAAACUUACAACACCUCUGUGUGUUUGAAGGCACUGCUCUUAUUAUAAGGGCAUCUAGGCAUAUUGCCACCCAAUUUUUUUU